UACGUAGGGUGCAAGCGUUGUCCGGAAUUACUGGGCGUAAAGGGCUCGUAGGCGGCCAACUAAGUCGGACGUGAAAUCCCUCAGCUUAACUGGGGAACUGCGUCCGAUACUGGAUGGCUUGGAUUUGGGAGAGGGAUGCGGAAUUCCAGGUGCAGCGGUGAAAUGCGUAGAUAUCUGGAGGAACACCGGUGGCGAAGGCGGCAUCCUGGACCAACAUUGACGCUGAGGAGCGAAAGCUAGGGGAGCAAACGGG
rnacentral:rRNA from 1 species